AUCCGUACGAGCGCACCCUUGUCCCUAGUUGCCAGCACUUCGGGUGGGAACUCUAGGGAGACUGCCGGUGAUAAACCGGAGGAAGGUGGGGAUGACGUCAAGUCAUCAUGGCCCUUAUGGGGAGGGCUACACACGUGCUACAAUGGCCGGUACAGAGGGCUGCGAAGCCGCGAGGUGGAGCGGAUCUCAGAAAACCGGUCGUAGUCCGGAUUGCAGUCUGCAACUCGACUGCAUGAAGCCGGAAUCGCUAGUAAUCGCGGAUCAGAACGCCGCGGUGAAUACGUUCCCGGGCCUUGUACACACCGCCCGUCACACCACGAAAGUCAGCUGUACCUGACGUCGCUGGAGCUAACCCGCAAGGGGGGCAGGUGCCCACGGUAUGGUUGGUGAUUGGGGUGAAGUCGUAACAAGGUAGCCGUAGGGGAACCUGCGGCUGGAUCACCUCCUUU
rnacentral:rRNA from 1 species